rnacentral:rRNA from 1 species
UACGGAGGGGGCUAGCGUUGUUCGGAAUUACUGGGCGUAAAGGGCGUGUAGGCGGCCUGCCAAGUCAGAUGUGAAAGCCCCGGGCUUAACCUGGGAACUGCAUUUGAGACUGGCCGGCUAGAGGUUGGAAGAGGAGAGUGGAAUUCCCAGUGUAGAGGUGAAAUUCGUAGAUAUUGGGAAGAACACCAGUGGCGAAGGCGGCUCUCUGGUCCACACCUGACGCUGAGGCGCGAAAGCGUGGGGAG